CGAGGGGGUUGAGUAGGGGGUCGGGGCCUAUAGGUUGGUUGUGUAGGUGGGCAUCAGCAAGGCGAAGAAGGGUAGCCGGCCUGAAAGGGCGACUGGCCAACAACUGGAAUUGAGACACGGCCCCGACUCUUACGGGAGGCAGCAGUGGGGAAUUUUGCACAAUGGGCGAAAGCCUGAUGCAGCGACGCCGCGUGAGGGAUGACGGCCUUCGGGUUGUAAACCUCUUUCAGCAGGGAAGAAGCGAAAGUGACGGUACCUGCAGAAGAAGCGCCGGCUAAAUACGUGCCAGCAGCCGCGGUAAUACGUAGGGCGCAAGCGUUGUCCGGAAUUAUUGGGGGUAAAGAGCUUGUAGGCGGCUUGUCACGUCGGUUGUGAAAGCCCGGGGCUUAACCCCGGGUCUGCAGUCGAUACGGGCAGGCUAGAGUUCGGUAGGGGAGAUCCGAAUUCCUGGUGUAGCGGUGAAAUGCGCAGAUAUCAGGAGGAACACCGGUGGCGAAGGCGGAUUUCUGGGCCGAUCAUGACGCUGAGGAGCGAAAGCGUGGGGAGCGAACAGGAUUAGAUACCGUGGUAGUCCACGCCGUAAACGGUGGGCAAUAGGUGUGGGCAACAUUACACUUUGUCCCUGCCGCAGCUAUCCCCUUAAGUCCCCCGCCUGGGGAGUACGGA
rnacentral:rRNA from 1 species